ACGUACACUCCUGCGGGAGGCAGCAGUGGGGAAUAUUGCACAAUGAGCGCAAGCCUGAUGCAGCCAUGCCGCGUGUAUGAAGAAGGCCUUCGGGUUGUAAAGUACUUUCAGCGGGGAGGAAGGCGAUAAGGUUAAUAACCUUGUUGAUUGACGUUACCCGCAGAAGAAGCACCGGCUAACUCCGUGCCAGCAGCCGCGGUAAUACGGAGGGUGCAAGCGUUAAUCGGAAUUACUGGGCGUAAAGCGCACGCAGGCGGUCUGUCAAGUCGGAUGUGAAAUCCCCGGGCUCAACCUGGGAACUGCAUUCGAAACUGGCAGGCUAGAGUCUUGUAGAGGGGGGUAGAAUUCCAGGUGUAGCGGUGAAAUGCGUAGAGAUCUGGAGGAAUACCGGUGGCGAAGGCGGCCCCCUGGACAAAGACUGACGCUCAGGUGCGAAAGCGUGGGGAGCAAACAGGAUUAGAAACCCGAGUAGUCCCAUGA
rnacentral:rRNA from 1 species